GAGUUAACGAUGAUUAUGAAAAUAAUUUCUCAUUUUGACUUGCUUAAUUUAAACAUGACAAACCUUUUAUUACACCCAUUGAAUCUGAGCUAC
rnacentral:snoRNA from 1 species